rnacentral:rRNA from 1 species
UACAGAGGGUGCAAGCGUUGUUCGGAAUUAUUGGGCGUAAAGCGCGUGUAGGCGGCUUUGCAAGUCGGGUGUGAAAGCCCCGGGCUCAACCCGGGAAGUGCACUCGAAACUGGCAGGCUAGAGUAUCGGAGAGGUUGGUGGAAUUCUCGGUGUAGAGGUGAAAUUCGUAGAUAUCGAGAGGAACACCGGUGGCGAAGGCGGCCAACUGGACGAAUACUGACGCUGAGACUCGAAAGCGUGGGGAGCAAACAGG